UACAGGGGUCUCAAGCGUUAAUCGGAAUUACUGGGCUUAAAGGGUGCGUAGGCGGGCCUGAAAGUGCCUUGUGAAAUCCCCCGGCUCAACCGGGGAACUGCGGGGCAUACUCCAGGUCUUGAAGAAGGUAGGCGCCGAGGGAACAGUAGGUGGAGCGGUGAAAUGCGUAGAUAUCUACUGGAACGCCGAUGGUGAAGACGCUCGGCUGGGCCUUUCUUGACGCUGAGGCACGAAAGCGUGGGGAGCAAAC
rnacentral:rRNA from 1 species